rnacentral:tRNA from 1 species
UGUUCUGUGGCUUAAUUGGUUGAAGCGCCGGUCUAGCAAAUACGAAGCCGUGGGUUCCAAUUCCUCCAAAACGA